CCAAUAGCGUAUAUUAAAGUUGUUGCAGUUAAAAAGCUCGUAGUUGAACUUCAGGCCUGGCUGGGCGGUCCGCCUUCCGGGCGAGUACUGCCUGUGGUCGGGUCCUACCUUCUGGCGAAGCGUCAUGGCCUUAACCGGCCGUGGCGGGGAACCAGGACUUUUACUGUGAAAAAAUUAGAGUGUUCAAAGCAGGCACGCGCUUGAAUACAUUAGCAUGGAAUAAUGGAAUAGGACAGUGGUUCUAUUUGUUGGUUUCUAGGACCGUUGUAAUGAUUAAUAGGGAUAGUUGGGGGCAUUAGUAUUCAAUUGUCAGAGGUGAAAUUCUUGGAUUUAUUGAAGACUAACUACUGCGAAAGCAUUUGCCAAGGAUGUUUUCAUUAAUCAGGAACGAAAGUUAGGGGAUCGAAGACGAUCAGAUACCGUCGUAGUCUUAACCAUAAACUAUGCCGACUAGGAAUCGGGCGAUGUUGACAAAAUGACGCGCUCGGCACCUCAUG
rnacentral:rRNA from 1 species